rnacentral:rRNA from 1 species
AUUGAACGCUGGCGGCAGGCCUAACACAUGCAAGUCGAGCGAGUGGCGGACGGGUGAGUAAUGUCUGGGGAACUGCCUGAUGGAGGGGGAUAACUACUGGAAACGGUAGCUAAUACCGCAUACCAUCGGAUGUACCCAGAUGGGAUUAGCUAGUGGGUGGGGUAACGGCUCACCUAGGCGACGAUCCCUAGCUGGCCGGAGAGGGUGAUCAGCCACACUGGGACGGAGACACGGCCCAGACUCCUACGGGAGGCAGCAGUGGGGAAUAUUGCGCAAUGGGCGCAAGCCUGAUGCAGCCAUGCCGCGUGAAUGAAGAAGGCCUUAGGGUGGUAAAGUACUUUCGUCAGGGAGGCGUUACCCACAGAGGAAGCACCGGCUAACUCCGUGCCAGCAGCCGCGGUAAUUC